CUGCCUCCUGUCAGAUCAGCAGUGGCACUGGAUUCUCAUAGGAGCACAAACCCUACUGUGAACUGCCCAUGCGAGGGGUCUAGGUUGUGAGCUCCUUAUGAGAAUGUAACACCUGAUGAUCUGUCACUGUCUCCCAUCACCCCAGAUGGGACUGUCUAGUUGCUGGAAACCAAGCUCCACACUCCCACUGAUUCUACAAUACGAUUCCAUGGAACAGAUUUCAUUCUACCCAGGAUUCCUUGAAAGGUGGCUUGAAACUCAUCUCUCAAUUGAAGUCAUGAAUCUGCAGGGGACAAAGAAAAAUGGCAUCCACAUAUCAACUCUAAUUGAUUUGGGGGCACUCUCCAGAGAGUCAGGAAUCUGGUUUAGGUCCCAGACCUAUAGCUUCCAGGGCUCAGACUCCUCAGAAGCUAAGGAGUUUGGCCAGUGCACGGCAGCUCACACCUGUAAUCCUGGCACUUUAGGAGGCUGAACUGAGAGGAUCACUUGUGUCAAGGUGUUCCAGACCAGCCUGGGCAACAUAUCAAGACCUCGUCUCUGCAAAACGUUUUAAACUUAGCUGGGCAUGGUGGCACACACUUGUAGUCUUAUCUACUCUAGAGGCUAAGGCUGGAGGAACAGUUGAGCCCAGGAGGUUGAGGCUGCAAUGAGCUAUGAUACCCCAAUAUGAUUGCCCCACUGGGUGACAGAAUGAAAGUCUGUCUAAAAAAUUUUUUAGAAAUAAGAAUAAUACAGGUUUAUAGAUCAAAAUGUGGCUCCUGAAAUAUUAGUUUUGAGCUUCAAUUCAAUAAGAAAGCCAUCGUAUUAGUCCAUUCUCGCACUGCUAUAAAGAAGUACCUGAGACUGUGUAAUUUAUAAAGGAAAGAGGUUUGAUUGACUCACAGUUCCAAAAGGCUGGGGAGGCCUCAGGAAACUUACAAUCAUGGUGGAAGGUGAAGGGAAAGCAAGGACCUUCUUCACAUGGCAGCAGGAGAGAGAAGUCCAAGCUGAGGAGAUGCCAUAUGCUUAUAAAACCAUCAGAUCUCGUGAAGAGUCACUCCUGUCAUAAGAACAGCAUGGGGAAAACCACCCCCAUGAUCCAAUCACCUCCUACCAGACCCCGCCCUCCACACAUGGGGAUUAUGGGAAUUACAAUUCUAGAUGAGAUUUGGGUGGGGACACGGGGCCAAACUAUAUCAGCCAUACAGGAAGGGAGCGUGAGAAGCUGAAGGUUAUGGUUCUUAUGCUUUCUAAGUGUCUUCCAGGCCCUGAGCCCACUGUCUCACCUCCACAGUGCAGAUAUGCCUUAAACACAAUUAAAACUGAAACCAACAUUAAACAGAACUAAAUGUAAGAAAUUAACAGAAAUUAAUUACCACAUAUCAGAGAGACAAUCGCCUGUUUAAAGCUUUAAUAUGAAAGAUACUUCUUUGAACAUAAAAACCCCAACUCUCACAUAUUUUCAAGGUAGUUUUGUACAUUAGAAAAUAAUUCUCUGUAUUCCGUGAUGAACGAUUCAUCGUGGAAUGCCUUUUAAAAAACAAAGACAUUGAAAAUGUGGUUGCAGGCUGGGCACAGUGGCUCACGCCCAUAAUCCCAGCACUUUGGGAGACUGAGGCAGGCAGAUCACUUGAGCCCAGGAGUUCGAGAUCAGCCCGGGCAACAUGGCAAAACCCUGUCUCUACAAAGAAAAUUUUAAAAAAAUUAGCUGGUCAUGUUGGUACAUACCUGUAGUCCUAGCUACUUGGUGAGGCUGAGGCCAGAGGAUUGCUUGAGUCUGGGAGGGAGGCAGAGGUUGCAGUGAACUAUGAUCAUGCCACUACACUCCUCACCCUGGUCAACAGAGUGAGACCCUGUCUCCAAAAACAAAAAAGAAAAACUGUGAUUGCAGACACAAACACUUAAACAUAACUCUGCAAACUUUUCUGUUACCUUUGAAAACCUAUUUCCGUACAGGGAGGAAAAAAACCCUUAGCCUUGUUUUGAUAGGGAAAUUUGAUUACUCAUUUGAAUAGACUGAGUAUGAUAGUUAUUUGACUUUUGAAAAUGUUUCAGGUCUCCUUCCUCUCUGCUAUCUUAGGAUCUGAGCUUCCUGAAAUUUUGAACCAAGGGCCAUGAAAUACAUUUUCUUAGCCUUUGCUAUAACAUUCAGCAUUAAACAGAAGACAAGAAGUGUGGCCGGACAUGGUGACUCAUGCCUGUAAUCCCAGCACUUUGGGAAGCCAAGGAAGGCAGAUCACUAUAGGCCAGGAGUUCCAGACCAGUCUGGGCAACAUGAGGAAAUACUGUCUCUACCAAAAGUGCAAAACAUUAGCCAGGUGUGGUGGUGCGCGCCUGUGGUCCCAGCUACUCAGGAGGCUGAGGUGGGAUGAUUGCUUGAGCCUGGGAGGUGGAGGCUACAGUGAGCCAAGAUUGAUCGCCACUGCACUCCAGCCUGGGUGACAAAGUGAGACUCCAUCUCAAGAAAAAGAAAAAAAAGAAGAAGAAGAAGGCAUGAGGGCUGACUGAAUAAGAGUUAUUGAUUUAGUGCUUCAAGAUCUCACAAGAUUCAGUCAUGAAAAUGAGAUCUGGCCUCGGGGGAGAAAACCGCUUCCUGCCCAGCACAGAGCCCAAGCAGGGACAGUGGCCGGAUCUGUUCAGUGCUCAUUAACGAGGUAACUUUGCCAUUUAUCAAAGCGCAGGACCAGUCUGGUGAGCCAAAACCAGAAUAUGAAAAUAGAUCUUUCUUCUGAAGUUCAGAUGUGAAAUAUUUUCCGUGUUUCCAAGAAUUUUUUUUUAAAGCCUCAACUUUUGUCCAUACCAUAAUUUUCUGGGAGUUUUCCUAAUUAAAAAUGCUGAUGGGUAUGGACUGUGUCCUUUCAUAGAGAAGGCAUUUAAGGGCAUCUACAACUCACAAGUUCAAUAAGAUCACCCAGCAUUAACAUGCCUUUGAUGAGGCAUUCGUUUAUUAUCUCUAGUUAUUUCUCAAUAAUCACACAACUGGCCUAAUGACACAAUGGGCUUUAUAAUAAUGAAUUUUCAAAAGAAAGCAAACAUUUCCUUUGAGGCUAUAUUCUCCAAUGAAUUUGGCAUGCCCUGGUUUGAAGACUUUCAUCUCCAAAUAGGCUGGGGUUUCUCUUUUAUCUAGCGGCCUGCCUUGCUGAAACCUUCUCCGACACACAAAGGAAAGUCUAAAAAAUGUCCAGUUCUAUCCAAGACUUCAAAAGUGCUCAGGGAGCCAGAUAAAAUCUGUCCCAGGAUUUUUUCUCUCCCCGAUAAACGUUUAGGAAAACCUUACUUCUGAGUCCAGGGCUACUUGGCUAGGACUGAAGAUGCUAAUGAAAAAGUGUUUCACUUAGGAACCUUGAGUGAGUCAAAAUUAGAGAAGGCUUGUUACCCAAAGGCCUGUGGUUUUAUUAUACAAGGCCCAUAUACUUCACCAAGGCUGGUAAAGUCAUUCAAACAACGACGUGUCAAAAGACAGAAUAUAGGCAAAAGUUCUGACCCAUCUGGUUGGUUGUGGCAUCUCCUAACUCAAACACCUUUGAAAAAACCCUCGUAAAAGGUGAAUAUAAGGCCUGUUAGGCCUCAGAACACAGUGGUUGUAGGACAGAAACCUUCGAUCACAGGACACUAGAAACACUCUCCAGAUCAAAGUCAUUCUAGUAAUUGUCAUUGUGCAUUAUGGAAAACCGAGUCCUGGGUUUGUGCCUUCCUUCCCCAGAACAUGAUUAUUACUGAAACAGAUGCAUGUUGGAUUUCCAGAUUGUGAAGCUAAGCUGUAAGGGUCUGCCUUGUCAUGACCUUACUGGCUGUGCAUGGUCUAAACUCAACUACCUCCCAGUCUCCAGACUGAACAUCUUAAUGUAUUAACUUAGAAUAUACUUCUUGUAAGCUUUCUUCCAACCCGGGUUCUACUCAUUUUGUUGGUCAAACAAACAAACAAAAAAUUCAAUCUAAAAUCCACAGUUACACAAGGAUAUGAAUGUAAGAAAGGCUGAACGUGAAUGAUUCCAGGAUAGAAGAAGUUAAUAAACCAAUUAACAAAAUCUGUGAGCAUUGCUAACCUUCAAAAGAGGAGGAUAAGGUUACAUUUUGUUUAAAGACAAAAAAAAAAUCCUAAUUAGUAUCAUGCUCUAAAAUAUACCUUUUAUUGAAAGCUAAGUUUUUAUUUUUAAUUAGUUCAAUAAAUGGCAAUGGGCAGCCUUCUCCUACUUAGCGAACUCACCAGGCUGUAGAAUUGUUGUAGGAAAUUAGCUCCAUUUCAGUCUUUGAUCCUUGAAGACCAAAGUGUGCAAUUUUGCUGGAGUAGUGUCGGUCGUUUGUAAGACCUUAGUGAAAGAAAAGUCUUAGUGUCCCUUAAAACUCCUUUAAAUAUGUAAAAAUGCACAAUGUCAGGGACCAGGACCCCGUCUACAUUAAACAAAGAACAAAGUCGAUCACUUCCCAUAAAGGGAAGGAUUUACAUUAAACUUUCCCCAGCAGAAAAAGAAAACAGAAAUUAAAAAGAUCAGACUGUGUUUUCUAGGGAAAUCUCUGCAUCUCCUUUUGUGCCUAAUAAUCUUCAUUUACUGGGACACCUAAGCUUCUUUGUGACUUUUCAUCUAAAUAUAUAUCCAAAGUUGUCUUCACUGCCUCAUUAAAGUAAAAUAAUAUCACAAGGUAACAAGUGUUUACGUUAAAAAAAGUUUGUUUGUUUUUUAAUCCCAGGCAAUGACUUUUUUUCAAGCUAUGCAAUAAUAAGACACUCCCUGAAAGUUUGUUUUAUUUGCCUCUGGGCUUGUCGUUUUCAUUUUCCUGCCCUUUGCUUACUUUUCUGUUGCUACUAAAAGGUAAACUUAUUCAGGCAUCUGUGUGUGUGUGUGUGUGUGCACGCACGCGUGUGUUUAUAUUAUUUAUUGAUAUACAUCUUAAAUAACGAACUUUGCAAAAUAAAAUCACAUUAUGAUGAGUUUUUUUAAUCCUAUUCUUAAUUCUCUAAUGGAGUUUCCUUGCUUUGCUUAAAAUAAGUGGACCACUGUUUGCCUUUGAAUUUC
rnacentral:lncRNA from 10 species